UCGAUAGGCCGCAGGUGUAAGCGUGGCGACACGUUGAGCCGAGCGGUACUAAUAGCCCGUGAGACGCUUUU
rnacentral:rRNA from 1 species